UUAGAACCAAGUUGUUUUCCCUUCUGCGCUACUGGGCUUUGUGAUUCUAUUUACUAGUUCCAGGUAAAGUUUACGGCGUGGCUAAGGGACAGUGCUUUCACAACUCUACCAUGUUGUUACAAUAAGCACAUCACUGCACAUUAUAAAGCACCGUGACAUUGAUAAUUGUUAACCUCCAAUCGAGAAGGCACGAAGACUGUGCAGCUCAUUUUACAGAUGAGAAAACUGAGGUAAAGGAACUUCCCUAGGAUCACACAGCAAGUGUCUGAGACCUGAUUUAAACUUGGGAACAGGCCCUACCUAUUUGCUGCCCCGAAUGUGCCUUCAUUUUACCGAUGAGGAAACCUCAGCCCAGAAGGUUCAGUGAUUUGCCAAAGAUCAUCCAUUUUUGAGGUGUCAGAAGUAGAAAAAUCAGUGAGACUAUUUAAAAUCCACUUUCUCAAGCAAAAUAAAAUAAAACUUAUGCAAAAUGCCAAAAUA